rnacentral:rRNA from 1 species
AAGCGCUUACAGCCAGACUCGCCCGGGGGUGAUCAGCCGUCCUUUUGGGCGGUGCACUUUCCCCCGGUCGGGCCAGCAUCGGUUUGGGCGGCUGGAUAAAAGCUUCGGGAACGUGACUCCCCUCGGGGAGUGUUAUAGCCCGGAGUGUAAUGCAGCCAGCCUGGACCGAGGACCGCGCUUUUGCUAGGAUGCUGGCGUAAUGGCUGUCAGCGA